rnacentral:rRNA from 1 species
AAUUAACGCUGGCGGCGUGCCUAACACAUGCAAGUCGAACGAGAAAGUACUUCGGUAUGAGUACAGUGGCGGACGGGUGAGUAACACGUUGGUAACCUGCCCUUGAGAAGGGGAUAACAUGCCGAAAGGCGUGCUAAUACCAUAUAAUGCCACAGGGUCUACGGACCUUGGGGUCAAAGGAUGGCCUCUAUUUAUAAGCUAUCGCUUGAGGAUGGGCCUGCGCACCAUUAGCUAGUUGGUAGGGUAACGGCCUACCAAGGCUUCGAUGGUUAGCUGGUUUGAGAGAACGACCAGCCACACUGGAACUGAGACACGGUCCAGACUCCUACGGGAGGCAGCAGUGGGGAAUCUUGGACAAUGGGGGAAACCCUGAUCCAGCAACGCCGUGUGAGUGAUGAAGGUCUUCGGAUUGUAAAGCUCUAGUUAACCGGGAAAAACUCGCAAGCAUCAGAUCCUUGCGAUUGAUGGUACCGGUAGAGGAAGCACCGGCUAACUCUGUGCCAGCC